CGCAGGGCUUGGUGUCAGCAAGAUGUUGCAGCCAUGGCCUGGCCCGGCUUCUGCCAGGGACCUGCGGCCUUCUGUCCCCUGCCAGCACAAUUACUGAUAUUUGAUUAGCAAGUGCUAUUGAGGAUUGAAGGAAGUACACAUUUUGCACAUUAUUUGCACAGGGCAGAUAAAAUCAAAUCAAAUUUGAGAGGAAGAUAAGACGCUCUGUCAGAUACUCUUCUCUUGGGUACGUCCUGGAGAACAUCAGGCCAGACCUGGUCUCCUCCAGUUCUUCUACAGCCAGGGGAGAGCAUGUAAGCUUGCUCGAAAGACUCACUUCUCACAGUGAUGAUGAGGAAAAAGGUUUCUCCAAGAUCACAAGAGACUACCUGGGGAGGGAGAGGAGCCAACAGCAGCCUGGCAGGAUCUCAAGAGUCCCAGGGCAGCAGCCAGCAAGGGCAUGCAUGCUGCAGAAAGUGAGAGCAAAGACAGGCUGCUCUCCAGCUGCCUUGUUUGCAGCCUACCUGCCUGCCUGUCUGGGCCCAGCAGUCCUGCAAAACCAGCACCAUCCUGCUGCAAGGGAGCUCGCUGCCAUUUCCAUGUCUUUGCAGGAUACCACAAUAUCUGUGGAAUACUCCAGGACUUAUGCCACCCUCCUUCUCCAGACAAUGCUGUCAGUGGUCUGCCUGCAAAGGGAUCUGCCUGGCCCUCUUCCUCCCACUCCCAGCUGCCACCCCUCUGUGUCAGCUGAGGCAUGAAAACACAGGCUGCUUACUGCAGCAAGGAGGUGGAAUGGUGGGAUGACAAGCAUGACUAGAAACCAGGGCUGUGCAGAGCCCCAUGGCCCUUUGAGAAAGUCUCCAUCUGGAGCUAAAACCUCUCUGUGCCCAAAUUCCCUAUUCUCUCAGCCAACCUCUUGCCAUCUUGAUGUGACUGUGAGAAGACUGUGUAGGGAUCAUUAGAAUGCCUAAUUUUAUUAGCGUUUAUAAUUCUGACAGUGAUGUGAAUUACAGCUGGUACCUGCUACAGCACCUCAAUGCGGAUAUGGAUGUGGCAGAUAAAGGAUGUAUCCCAAAGGUCAGUGACUGCUGUCAUGGGACAGGAAAUUCCCACAAAGAAUAACUGCUGGAGAUGGGUGCUAAAUUUCCCUGUCCUUCCAGUCCUAGGCAGUUACCUAAAGAAGCAGCAAGAGCAGCUGUCUUGCCUUCCUAGAGUCACUAGCUCUGGAAAGCCCUGGCAGCUCUGGGACUCAAGUAAAGAGUCUUUCCUCUUAGAUGCUACUGGGGCAGCCGACAGUUGACUUGAGCUCUCCAUGGUAAGAGCCUUUCUUCUCUCUCCUGACCUGCAGCACAUAUAGUAGGGUAGCAGCACAGGAGACCAUGCUAUUUUCACUCACUUUCCUUUCUUAAGUUCCUUGUCAAAAUCCUUUGGCAUGGGAGGUACUCCCUCCAUCACACCCCAGGAAAGAGCCAUCAGAGCCUAGCAGCAUUUGAUGGUUGUAAUCCCCAAAGCACUGGCCCAUUCCAUUUAGAUGGCACUUUGAGUCUGGAAACAGGCACAACCCUCCACUUCCGCCUUCUGCUUGUCUUUAAGGGAGCCACCAUUCCUCCACCUUGAAACCCAACACACAGCCAGCUUCCAGCUGAAUGCUGUACGCAAAGAAACCUGUCUUUGUGACAGGGAGAUUUGCUUACUUCUGCUCUUUAUCUUAUAGAAAAUACAGAGCUCUAUAUAGCAGCAUAUUCUUAAGGGAAUAGACCUAUAGCCAUUUAUCUCUGACUGAUGUAAACUCCAAAGUCUAAAGCCUGAAGUUCCAUUGGGAACACUAUACUCUCUUGAGUACAGGAGGCCUGAAAACCAGUGUGAUUUCUCAGUCUAGUAGGCAAACUGGUGGUGAAAGCUUGGUGUCUUUCACUCAUCUUCAAUUUCUUUCCUCAUUUGCCUUUGAAUUUAAUAGUCAGAUAGGGAAAUAGGCAUGUUCAGGAGGCCAGUUACAGUGUAGUCCCAACUAAUUCACUGCGCAGGGAGGGAGAGGUGUUGGUAGGGUGCUGCCCAAGAGUUCCAUUGCUGAUGGCCAUUACUGAACUCUCCCCAGUACAUCCAUGUCUCUCUUAUACUGAGGAACCCAGAACUGGACAUAGGACUUCAGAUGUGGCCUCACUAGUGCUGACUAGUGCUGACUAGAGAAGGAUUGCCUCCUACCUGUUGGCAAUCUUUAGCCUAAUGCAGCCCAGGAUCCCAUUUAUAUUCUUUACUGCGAUGACACACCGCUGGACUGCUACUGCCCAGGUGGAGGACUGCACACUUCUCAUUGUUGAAAUUUAUGAAGCUCCUAUCAGUCUAUUUCUCCAGCCAGACAAAAUCCAUGCGCCAGGACAACAUGACCAUCUGGUGUAUCUGCCAUUCUUCCCAGCUUUGUGUACCUUUGCAGAGGGCACACUCUGCUCCAUGAUCCAGCUUAUUUUUGAAGGUAUAAACAGGACUAGACCAAGAACUGACCCUUCAGGUACCCUGCUAGCUACUGGCCUCCAAAUACAAUUUAUACAUGAGGACAGUGAAGGAUUUCAAGACAGCCAGCACCACUUCAUCUAGGGCACAUCUCUCCAGCAUGGAGAGAUAUUGCUUUCUGCGGUGGAGUAAUGCCAUCCAUGAACAAGGGAAGGGCUACAAAUGGCACCUAUCUGGACUUUUGUAAGCAGGCCACUGACAUGGUCCCCUACAACAUCCUUCUUUCUAACUUGAAAAGUUUCUGAUGGAUGGACUGUUAGUGGCUUAAACAACAGGAUUGAAUGCACCAUCAGAAAGUUUGCAUACAAGACCAAGUUCAGUGGCACAGUUGACGUAUCUGAGGGACAGGAUGUCAUCCAGAGGGACCUGGACAAGCUGAAGGAGUGGGAAUCUCAUGGGGUUUAAUAAGGGUUUCUAUGUACAUACAUAUGAACAUACAUAUGUCAUCACAGAAAAUGGAUGAACUAAGGUAAAUUUUCAAUACAGGGAUUGUGGAGGUGAAAUGCUGGUUGUCUCUGUAAUAGCAAAUAAAAUUCUUUAUGUGACUGAAUAUGUUGGAAAGGUCUUUAUACUAUAUUCUCUUUUCAAACUACACAAGUGGGAACCUUCCACUUCGAAGAACACUAAAAAAUGCCAAGUGUAAGCGAGGAGGAACUAGUUUAAAAAUUAAAAAAAAAAAAUCAGAGCUGAAAUUCAAAUAUUUAAAUUUGUUUUUGUGAAAGUUAGCCUUUAUUUUUAGUUUUUUUAUUUAUUUCAAACACAGUGAAGUUCCCUCAGAUAAUGAAUGCUGCAUAACUAAUGUGAACCACAGAUAAAAGAAAAUGCGGUUUAAACAUUAAGAAUAUCUCAGUCAUUACCCUAAGCUCUCUGCUUGUUUGAAGAAAUUCAGUGAAAACCAACAGUCUUAAGCAAUUGUGUCAUACUAAAUCAUACCAAGAAACCACUUAGUUAAAAACAACAGUAUUUUUUCUGAUUUUUUUUUUUUCACCCAGAAUUGCAGUUUACAAUAAUGCAUUAAAUUGCAUUAACUCACAUUUUUGUGAGUUUCUGUUUAACAUAUCUUAUUGAGUUUGUAUGGCCAGGUUCUGGUAGCAGGGGGUGUUUACAGGGGUGCUUCCUGUAUGUCGCGCAGAGCCAAUCACUGUUGGCUCCAAGAGGGAUGCACUGCUAGCCAAGGCUGGGCCACUGAGAGAUGGUUGUAAUGCCUCUGUAAUAAUGUUUUUAGGAAGGAAAAAAAAGUAAUUGCACAGAUGUACUUGUGGCCACAGAA